AUGGUUCACAGCAAUUCUUCUUCUCCAAUGAAAACAACGCCGUCUGCCUCAUCUCACCAAACAGGCCGAACUUCAACCCCUGAUUCUUCUCGGGCUCCAUCUGAUGGAAAUCCUCCUGUCCCGACCACAGCAACAGCAUUACAGUCUAAGUCAAGACUAGCGUCUGUCAGGGGGUCUGCACAGACACCGACCCCUGCUCAAGGCCUUGUCAAUGGCCGUACAUCAGGCAGGAAAAGGACUCCUAAGGCCUGUGAUUGCUGUGGCCCCCACAGUGCAGGACACAAUGUCAAAAGCUCAGAUAGAGGGAGGGGGGCGCAGAGAGGAAGGGGAAGGGGGAGAGGGAGAGGAGCUGUCAAGGACCUUGAGGAUACUCCUAAAAGGAAAGUGGAGCAGUUGAAAGUAAUCAAGAACUUCGAUUUAGCCAAGGCGAAGGUAAAGACAACAGAGAAUAAAGAUAACCCACAGGAGGCUCUGCAAACAUCUGUACAAGUGGCUGAUACACAGCCACAAACCCUCCCUCCUAAGCCUGUCUCAGCCACCUCACAAGAUGGACCAAUUACAAACUGUGCUUCUGCAAGUAUGGGGGCUGCACAGGGUGUGUUGAUGACACAGUCAGGGGUUGUUGGUGCGGCAGAGAAAGGAGGUGGUGAGAAAAGGGACGGUGUCACAAAAGUGCCAGUACAGGAUAGAACGAGCUCUUUAGCAGGCAGAGGUCGAGGUAGAGGGCAAGGGAACCUCAUGGCUGCAUCAAAAGUGGAAGUUAACAUUCAAGUAAGAAGCAGGGGAAGAGGUCGUCUCGGUUCAGGAACAGGUGCCUUAGCUCACUCAGCGUUAGUGAUGGAACCAGAGGGAAAACAAGACUCACGGGUGGACCAAAAUGACACCGGCUUAGCUAAAUGUCUGCUUGGAAACGGAGACAUGGUAAGCCUGUCUGACUCGGAUGAAGAAAUGAAAGACGACACCAUAAUUGUGAGUGAACCUGCAGAUGAGCUUCUGUUAAUCUCAAUGCAGUCAACUCCUGCUUCAAGAUUAGAAUCGUCCCAAAGCCUUGAUUCUGAGAUGCAGGUGGACCACAUCUCUGACCAAAACCAAAUUUCUGCAUCUCCAACGCUGCCCAACGGGAACACAACCACACCAACAGACCGAGAACACACAUCCUCACCUGCGAACAUGAAAACCUCUAGCUCAGCUUUGGUUCCCCCUCCAGACCCCAUAACAAUGAGCAGCACAGAGUGCCUCGGGGCAUUAAGAGACCACAGACUGUACUGUCACCCUGGAACGUGGGCAAAAGACGAGACGAAAGAAGUGGCGGUCACAAAUCCAGCUGAAGAAAACGCGAUUAGUGCAGAUACUCAGAGUAAGAAAGGCCUGGAGCAGCUCACCGACAUGGUUCAUGAGUUUUUGGAGAGCUUCUAUAUAAAAUAUGGCAGCUUCAUUCCUCUUAGUGAAUCUGAUGUCCUGGAGCAUCUGAAAAAGAAAGGCAUCUCUGACUUCAAAAACAGGUUCACACACGCAUGCGUGCGCGCACACACACACUCACACACACUCAGGCAGGAAAAGGCAUCAUAA
ensembl:lncRNA